GCCCGAAUAAGCCCAGGAAUAGUCUUUAAACUGCCAUUUAAGGUUGUUUUCUUUAACAUUUUAUGUUUAAGGGCAAGUUGUACGUUAUACUAUUUAUAUUUAUACGUAUAUUUUUGAAGAAUAGCUGAAUAUAUGUGGAACAUUUGAAUCAAAACAUGUAGCACUGGCAAGUGUUUUUCGAUGUUUAUUGUUGUUUUUUUCGCAGUUUGGUCGGAGAAAAGUACAAUUCGG